UACGAAGGGGGCUAGCGUUGCUCGGAAUUACUGGGCGUAAAGCGCACGUAGGCGGCUUCUUAAGUCGGUGGUGAAAUCCUGGAGCUCAACUCCAGAACUGCCUUCGAUACUGGGAAGCUCGAGUCCGGGAGAGGUGAGUGGAACUGCGAGUGUAGAGGUGAAAUUCGUAGAUAUUGGUAGGAACACCAGUGGCGAAGGCGGUCUUCUGGAGCACUCUUGACGCUGAGGCGCGAAAGCUGGGGGAGCGAACGGG
rnacentral:rRNA from 1 species